rnacentral:lncRNA from 1 species
GAAUUUCCCACAGGGUGGAGAUUGCUUUCUUUAGAACAUGAUUGGUUACAAACAUCAUCUCUGAAAAGAGGCUACUGGAAAGAAGGCUACUUGAUUAGUUUUAAGAAGGACAUUCCUGGGAAUAGAUAAGGAAUGUAUAGAUAAGGAACAAAGGAUUACACCAGUUGCUCCAGAUGCCCAAGAAGAAACAGACCCUAUGUGCACAUCCACAAGUGAAAUUGACCUGUUAGAUAAGAUUAACAGCUCUGUCCAGACAUUUCUCAACUAAGUCUCACUAAGUGUUUCCCUUGAAUGCUCUGCAGGAUUUUUAAGGGAAGUUUAUUCUCAGUUCUUUCUGCCAGUCACAUAUCAUUAGCUUGUGCAUAUGCAGACCAAGCUGUGAAUACGAGCCCAUGUAUCAGGAAAGUCCAUUCCAAGAGUUUCCUCAACAGUGAUAUGGCAGCAAUUUCAGGUUGGUAGGAUAGAUAUAGCUAUAACUAAAUUAUACCAUAGAUCAUAGCUAGUUGUUGUGAUAUCAUGAUCUGUGGAUUUUUAUUUGGGUCUUUUGACAUAUACAACAUCUGGUCCAAUAUUUGCAAGCAACAUGUGAAAUAAUUAGCAAUAGAAUACAAAAGAGUGAUUAUAAAAGUAUACAUCCUAAAGAAGUUACUUUCAAUCAAAAGGUAACAUACAUUGAUCAUAGCCUACCAAAAAAUUCCCAUACAAGCAUUGUUAUAUUCCUUAACAAACUCUAAUUUGUGUUUGACUUCAUUAUCCAUAAUCAUUGGGACCUUAUUUUUAAUUUUUCUUAAAGCCAACCAAUUUCCAUUGGGAUUACAUCAUAGGGAGGAAUAAGGGUGUUGUCUUUGGAAGACAGGAUUAAUCAAAGGAAAUAUGCUAAGCACAAUUAUAUGAUAAAGUUUAAAUCAAAUAACAAUCAUUAUCAUGAGCAAGCAAGAACAGAUGCCAUAGAUAAUUUCAAAUAUCCCAAUAAUCUCUUCACCAGAUUCCCGAGGUCUAGUCCAUGGUCUUUGAUGUCUGCAUCUCUUGGGAGCUCACUGGAAACUUGGCCUUUUUGUGAUGCUAAAAAUGACCAUGUUGACAGUGGUGAAGAAUUCUAUUUCUGUACUAUCAGCAAAAUGGGUUGAGUGCUGUCAAGGUGCACUAUGCCUAAUAUACAUAGAGAUCACACAAUGACCUUGAUAUUUAUUUUUACCACUACACAAAACAAUUCAGAAGAAACAUGGCAGAGGAAAGUGAAUUCUAUUAAUCAGUUUAAGCUCUCUAAAUUAUUGUUUGGUUUUAGAACCCCUUAAAAUACCAAUAUAAAAAUCUACAGAAUUAGGAAUUUAUGAAGUAAAAUUCUACAGGAAAAAAGCUAAGUAAUUAUUCCUACUUGUAUUAAAAAGUCAACAUUUUCAUGAAUUAUACUCAGUGUGCACCCACUUAAUCAUAUUUAUUGCCAUAAAUUUUAAUCUACAUUUCCACUAUUUGACAUAUUGCUGACUGUACAAAUAAAUAUAAUUCUAAAUAAAUAAUAAUGAUAACA